CCGAUUAGAAUGAAACUGAUGGCGCUGAUGUUACUGUCGUCGGAAUUCAAGCUGGACUUAGAAAGUUCUUGACUUGCGUAGUAUUUGACGCAGCGGAGCUAGAAGUCCGGCUGCACUUUUCGGCGGCCCUCGUAGCACCCUGUUUCGGCAAGAGAUGGUCGUGUCUUAAAGUGGCUUAGUUGACUCGUCGACUGAGUCCCGGCGCGAUUACACCUCCACGCUGAGACUUGAAAACGCUGCAGGCAUAGCGCAUAAGCUGGUGUUCAGACUGGACGACCGAAAGGUAGAAAGGUUUUGGACGCCGGUGGUUGCCAAGGUAGCAGUGCUGCGAUUACAACAGUUACCCAUCAGACCCGUCUUGAAACACGGACCAAGGAGUCUAGCAUGUGCGCGAGUCAAAGGGUGGAAAACCCCAAGGCGCAAUGAAAGUAAAACAGCUGAGAUCCUUCACUUGUUGGAGGCGCAUCAGCCUACCGUUGUAUGUGCUUGCCACUUCAGCGGAUAGUGAGCGUACACGCUAGGACCCGAAAGAUGGUGAACUAUGCCUGAACUGGACGAAGCCAGAGGAAACUCUGGUGGAGGUCCGCAGCGGUUCUGACGUGCAAAUCGAU
rnacentral:rRNA from 1 species